GAAGCUGGGAUGAGGCACUCUUCAUGAUUGGAAGGAUGUCAAGAAGGAAGAACUGAUGUGUUCAAACAUGGGCUGGGAUUCCUCUCACCUCACCAAUCACGGCAAAAUGAGUUGGCUUUGAUUCCAGCUGGGAGACAGCAGAAGCUCACAGACAUGGACAAAUCCUUCUUCAGCCUCCUGGACACUGGACAUUCCAAUUCCUCCCUGACACUGGACAUUCCCAUUGCUCAGGGUUUGAAAUGCAGCACCCCGUUCAUUUAACCCUG